rnacentral:rRNA from 1 species
UACGAAGGGGGCUAGCGUUGCUCGGAAUCACUGGGCGUAAAGGGUGCGUAGGCGGGUCUUUUAAGUCAGGGGUGAAAUCCUGGAGCUCAACUCCAGAACUGCCUUUGAUACUGAGGAUCUUGAGUUCGGGAGAGGUGAGUGGAACUGCGAGUGUAGAGGUGAAAUUCGUAGAUAUUCGCAAGAACACCAGUGGCGAAGGCGACUCACUGGACACGUAUUGACGCUGAGGUGCGAAAGCGUGGGGAGCAAACAGGG